AUUCCAAUCGAACUCGGAGAUAGCUGGUUCUCCCCGAAAUAUCUCUAGGGAUAGCGUUGUGAUAGAGUUAUACGAAGGUAGAGCACUGAAUGGGUGAGGGCCUCACCUCGAGGUACUGAUCUCAAUCAAACUCCGAAUGUCGUAUAACGUGCACAGCAGUAAGACUGCGAGUGAUAAGGUCCGUAGUCAAAAGGGAAACAGCCCAGACCGCCAGUUAAGGUCCCAAAAUUAUGCUAAGUGGGAAAGGAGGUGGAGUCGCUUAAACAACUAGGAGGUUGGCUCAGAAGCAGCCAUCCUUUAAAGAGUGCGUAAUAGCUCACUAGUCGAGUGGUCCUGCGCCGAAAAUGUAUCGGGGCUAAGCAUAAUACCGAAGCUGCGGGAUUAGAUGAAGAAUCUAAUCGGUAGGGGAGCGUACUAAGUGCGUAGAAGGUUGACCGGAAGGGCAGCUGGAGCGCUUAGCAGUGAGUAUGCCGGUGUGAGUAGCGAUAAGAUGGGUGAGAAUCCCAUCCGUCGAAAGCCUAAGGUUUCCAGGGGUAAGGCUCGUCCUCCCUGGGUAAGUCGGGUCCUAAGGUGAGGCUGAGAAGCGUAGCUGAUGGACAUCAGGUUGAUAUUCCUGAACCACCAUAAAACUGAAGGAAUGACGGAGGAGGCUAAUCAGAGCUGAUUAAUGGAUUUCAGUUUAAGUACAAAGAGGGUUACGUAGGCAAAUCCGCGUAGCAAAACCUUGAAGUAUGACGACGUAAGUCUGGUGAAGCCACACUUCCAAGAAAAGUUUCUAGGUGUAUUUUAUGGUGCCCGUACCGUAAACGGACACACGUAGGCGAGGAGAGAAUCCAAAGACGCGCGAGAUAAUUCUUGUUAAGGAACUCUGCAAAAUUACUCUGUAACUUCGGAAUAAAGAGGGCUCCCGUGAGGGAGACGCAGAAAAUAGGCCCAAGCGACUGUUUAACAAAAACAUAGGUUUCUGCUAAAGCGCAAGCUGAAGUAUAGGAGCUGACGCCUGCCCAGUGCUGGAAGGUUAAGAGGAGAAGUUAGUCGCAAGGCAAAGCUUUGAAUUGAAGCCCCAGUAAACGGCGGCCGUAACUAUAACGGUCCUAAGGUAGCGAAAUUCCUUGUCAGGUAAGUUCUGACCCGCACGAAAGGCGUAACGAUUUGGGCGCUGUCUCAACAAGAAACUCGGUGAAAUCAUAGUACCUGUGAAGAUGCAGGUUACCCGCGAUCAGACGGAAAGACCCCAUGGAGCUUCACUGCA
rnacentral:rRNA from 1 species